rnacentral:rRNA from 1 species
GAAUUUUGCGCAAUGGGCGAAAGCCUGACGCAGCAACGCCGCGUGGAGGAUGAAGGCCUUCGGGUCGUAAACUCCUGUCAGGGGGGACGAAAGCCGGGAAACCGGCGUGACUGUACCCUCUGAGGAAGCCACGGCUAACCCCGUGCCAGCAGCCGCGGUAAUACGGAGGUGGCAAGCGUUGUUCGGAAUUACUGGGCGUAAAGGGCGCGUAGGCGGCAUGGCAAGUCAGAUGUGAAAGCCCCGGGCUUAACUCGGGAACUGCAUCUGAAACUGCUUUGCUUGAGUCCUGGAGGGGGUAGUGGAAUUCCCAGUGUAGCGGUGAAAUGCGUAGAUAUUGGGAGGAACACCGGCGGCGAAGGCGGCUACCUGGACAGUGACUGACGCUGAGGCGCGAAAGCUAGGGGAGCAAACGGG